AGGACGAACGCUGGCGGCGUGCUUAACACAUGCAAGUCGAGCGGAAAGGCCCUUCGGGGUACUCGAGCGGCGAACGGGUGAGUAACACGUGAGCAAUCUGCCCUUAGCUUCGGGAUAGCUCCGGGAAAACCGGAAUUAAUACCGGAUAUGACUAUGGCUGACAUCAGCCACGGUGGAAAGUUUUUCGGCUAGGGAUGAGCUCGCGGCCUAUCAGCUAGUUGGUGGGGUAACGGCCUACCAAGGCGACGACGGGUA
rnacentral:rRNA from 1 species